rnacentral:misc_RNA from 1 species
UACGGGGGGGGCAAGCGUUGUUCGGAAUUACUGGGCGUAAAGGGCUCGUAGGCGGCCAACUAAGUCGGACGUGAAAUCCCUCGGCUCAACCGGGGAACUGCGUCCGAUACUGGAUGGCUUGAGUUCGGGAGAGGGAUGCGGAAUUCCAGGUGUAGCGGUGAAAUGCGUAGAUAUCUGGAGGAACACCGGUGGCGAAGGCGGCAUCCUGGACCGGCACUGACGCUGAGGAGCGAAAGCCAGGGGAGCAAACGGG